rnacentral:tRNA from 1 species
GGGGGCGUAGCUCAGUUGGUUAGAGCGCCGGCCUGUCACGCCGGAGGUCGCGGGUUCGAGUCCCGUCGCUCCCGCCU